rnacentral:rRNA from 1 species
GAUGAACGCUGGCGGCGUGCCUAACACAUGCAAGUCGAGCGAUUCUCUUCGGAGAAGAGCGGCGGACGGGUGAGUAACGCGUGGGUAACCUGCCCUGUACACACGGAUAACAUACCGAAAGGUAUGCUAAUACGGGAUAAUAUGCUUUAGUCGCAUGGCUGAAGUAUCAAAGCUCCGGCGGUACAGGAUGGACCCGCGUCUGCUUAGCUAGUUGGUAAGGUAACGGCUUACCAAGGCGACGAUCAGUAGCCGACCUGAGAGGGUGAUCGGCCCUAUCUGAACUCAGACACGGUCCCAACGCCUCCGGGAUGCAGCAGUGGGGAAUAUUGCACCCUGGGCGAAAGGCUGGUGCAGCAGCGCCGCGUGAGCGACUAAGGCCUUCUGGUCGUAAAGCUCUGUCCUCAAGGAAGCUAAUGCCGGUACUUGAGGAGGAAGCCCCGGCUAACUACGUGCCAGCAGCCGCAGUAA